rnacentral:rRNA from 1 species
UUGGAGGGCAAGUCUGGUGCCAGCAGCCGCGGUAAUUCCAGCUCCAAUAGCGUAUAUUAAAGUUGUUGCAGUUAAAAAGCUCGUAGUUGAAUUUCGGGAUCUAUCCAUUGGUCGGGCCUCACGGUCCGUACUGGUGUUAUGGAUUCCUACCUUCUGAAUAACCGGGAUGUCAUUAAUUUGGUGUGCCGGGGAAGCAGGACUGUUACCUUGAAAAAAUUAGAGUGCUUAAAGCAGGCUUUUGCCUGAAUACAUUAGCACGGAAUAAUGAAAUAGGACGCAUGAUUCUAUUUUGUUGGUUUCUAGGAUCACCGUAAUGAUUAAUAGGGAUAGUUGGGGGCAUUAGUAUUCAAUUGUCAGAGGUGAAAUUCUUGGAUUUAUUGAAGACUAACUUCUGCGAAAGCAUUUGCCAAGGAUGUUUUCAUUAAUCAAGAACGAAAGUUAGGGGAUCGAAGACGAUCAGAUACCGUCGUAGUCUUAACCAUAAACUAUGCCGACUAGGGAUCGGACGAUGUUAAUUUUUUAAUGACUCGUUCGGCGCCUUACGGGAAAC